GGGUGAGUAGUUCAAUCUGGAUAGAAUAGGACCUUGCGGUGGUUCCGAUUCGGGUUCAAAUCCCGGCUUGCCCG
rnacentral:tRNA from 1 species